UACGGAGGAUGCAGGCGUUAUCCGGAUUUAUUAGGUCUAAAGGGUGCGUAGGCGGGAUUGUAAGUCAGUGGUGAAAUCCAGCAGCUUAACUGUUGAACUGCCAUUGAUACUGCAGUCCUUGAGUACAAACGAGGUAGGCGGAAUAUGUAAUGUAGCGGUGAAAUGCAUAGAUAUUACAUAGAACUCCGAUUGCGAAGGCAGCUUACUAGAUUGUAACUGACGCUGAUGCACGAAAGCGUGGGGAG
rnacentral:rRNA from 1 species